rnacentral:lncRNA from 1 species
CCCGAAUGACUUUGGGGAGACUCCUACAUUCCUAGCCUCCAAAAUCGGCAGACUUGUCACCAGGAAGGCGAUCUUGACUCUGCUGAGAACCGUGGGGGCCGAAUACUGCUUCCCACCCAUCCACGGGGUCCCCGCGGAGCAGGGCUCUGCAGCGCCACAUCAUCCCUUCUCCCUGGAAAGAGCUCAGCCCCCACCGAUCAGCCUAAACAACCUAGGUAGGCCUCGCCUCCCGACUCCCUCUUCUCCAGCUGGUUCCCAGGCCCCUGGAUCACAGCAGGCCCCACCAAAGCAACAGGAUCCCUAGGACGGAAGUCACUAAAGGA